AAAAAUUUAGUUAAAAAAUAACAUUAGUUUGUCAAACUAAAAUUAUUAGUCAUUAAUAAUUUUUU
rnacentral:tRNA from 1 species